rnacentral:rRNA from 1 species
GAUGAACGCUGGCGGCGUGCCUAAUACAUGCAAGUCGAGCGAACAGAUAAGGAGCUUGCUCCUUUGAAGUUAGCGGCGGACGGGUGAGUAACACGUGGGUAACCUACCUAUAAGACUGGGAUAACUUCGGGAAACCGGAGCUAAUACCGGAUAACAUUUAGAACCGCAUGGUUCUAAAGUGAAAGAUGGUUUUGCUAUCACUUAUAGAUGGACCCGCGCCGUAUUAGCUAGUUGGUAAGGUAACGGCUUACCAAGGCGACGAUACGUAGCCGACCUGAGAGGGUGAUCGGCCACACUGGAACUGAGACACGGUCCAGACUCCUACGGGAGGCAGCAGUAGGGAAUCUUCCGCAAUGGGCGAAAGCCUGACGGAGCAACGCCGCGUGAGUGAUGAAGGGUUUCGGCUCGUAAAACUUUGUUAUUAGGGAAGAACAAAUGUGUAAGUAACUGUGCACAUCUUGACGGUACCUAAUCAGAAAGCCACGGCUAACUACGUG